AGCCUGGAAAGACGAGAGAUUUUGUGUCAUCCAUCCUGACCCGAUGGGAACCCUGUGGAUCAUGAACUGUCCUCACUACUGCCAUUCCUACAUUAUUUCCCCAUAGGGGAGAGAAACACAGGCAUGGUGCAAUGACAAUUUAGGUGGCUCCCAACUAUCAAUUCCAGCCAGCUGCCUUAAAGACAGCCUAUUGAAAUCCUUUCUAUUGUGCCAUAAUGGAAUGGAUUUCCAUGCAGCAGAUUUGAUCUGUUGCUGUCAGGCAGCCAGAAUGCAAGCUCCAAGGUACAGCAAGACAAAAUGGGAAAGCAGGAUCUGGAUCAAGCUUGCGUGAACUUACGUUUGUUCUGUAACCAUUGUACUCUGACCUAAUGAGCCUCUCUGGACUAUCCUGAUGCUUAUCAUUUACACUGGCAUGAGUUUUCUUCAGCUCCCUUAGCAUUAAUGGUGUGGAUGACUAAGCAACUUAAGCACUGACGCUGAGAAACUGGAGCACACAGGCUGUACUGCUUUCUGCAAUGCAUCGUUCUGAAACACAGGGAUUCUUGAUAUUCCCAUUCUCCAGUAUUUUAGUAAAUAUAUUUACAGUAUUUUAGUACUUGCAUGGGUUCAAAUACUCUUUCAGCUGUUGCUCUAUUGGGUUGAUCUUAAGAUUCAAUAUAUGAAGAGCUGCUGGGUAUGACCUGCUGGUUGCUGCAGAAGUUCCGGAGACUAAAGAGAUGAUAGCAUUACCAUUUUUAAUGCCAAUGGCUGUAACUAUUUCAAGAAAGUGUAAAAAUAAAAUAAAUUUAAAAAAACACAAACCAAACAUCCAAGAGCGUAAGAACACAGAAGGCAGAUACUGCAGAUGGUUAAAAGAAAACUAUACUUUUCCUCAGUUUUCUUUGUUCUUUCUGCUUUGAGGUUUCAAGCAGCUACAAACGAUAAACCCUACAGGACACUGCUCUCCUUAAUGAAUCAGACCUCUUGCAAAUGAGGCACUCCAGCAACAGCAAUGGAAAACAGGAACAUGGGCUGCCUUGUUUUUCCCACUGGGUCAGCUGCAAACCACAUGAAACUAUUCCAGGGUUCAGAAGAACAUUCUCCCUCCAGUAGCCCGAUUUAUU